rnacentral:rRNA from 1 species
UUUAUGGAGAGUUUGAUCCUGGCUCAGGAUGAACGCUGGCGGCGUGCCUAAUACAUGCAAGUCGAGCGAACAGAUAAGGAGCUUGCUCCUUUGACGUUAGCGGCGGACGGGUGAGUAACACGUGGAUAACCUACCUAUGAGUAA